ensembl:lncRNA
UUACUGCGCCCCUGACGGAACCUAUAAUUGGAGACAAGCGCGACGUGCUGAAAAUAACCAGGUUAGCACUUAGUACCGGUCCAUUUUGGGGAGGGCCCAACAUGAGGGCGCAGCAACAAAGAUCACCUCCUUCCAGCUGUUUGGGAAUAUCUUGCUCCCAAUCUCGAGGCUGCUGCAUGACUGUGGCAGCAACCUUUUCUCUCGUCUCCGUCUGUCCGUAAUGGAUACUGGGUCACGGAUUGGAGGAGUGCGCGUGGUGGUGGUGGUGGUGCGGGGGGUCUCACGGUGACAAACGCAGAAGCCGUUUUUUUUUUUUUUUUUUUUAGAAGGGGAGUGCAGAAGGAGGUGGGAAAGUGGCACAGGAGCGACACUGUUGCAUGUUUUUCCUCAUUGGAUAGAGGCUGAACGAUGGGCCAGAGGGGACUGUCCGACUUCUUCCACAAUUCGCCUCCCCCGCCCCCCUCCUCCCCCAAAGGGAUAUUCUUACUCAAUUUGGGAUGCGUGCAACACCAAGUGAUCACACAUAUUACUUGGGCGGCGGUGCUGCUGGAGCUGGCUUUUGGCUGCGAUGGACGGCGAAGUUUCACUUGCAGGUCUCGUGCAGGCGGACACGCGGCCAUCCAGACUAUCGGUGCCUUUUGCGCGCGUGUUGCGUGGGGCCCUCCGGUUGACUGCGGCGAUGGCGACACCUGUCCCGGACACAGCAGAAGGAUCAACUUGCCAAAGACGUGGACCCACAAGCAAAACUCACCAAACCGACCUGCAGCGGCCUCUCAGUAAGGCGUUCUUGUGAAUACUUCCUCCGCGUGACAUGGACCCAAGCCCACAACCGCCAGAGGAGCCGAGCUGCAGAGCGCCUCUGAGCCCUGCUGAGACCUGCCAGGCUCACUAGCUCUCCCUGCCAGAGGCCUCAGCUCCCAGUCAAAGUGAGUUACAACCCAUGCUUUUCACGCACACAGUGCCGUGCGUGUGAGUGUGUGCACGUAUGUGUGUGUUACAACCCAUGCUUUUCACACACACAUAUGUGCACACACUCACACACGGGCAGUGUGCAGGCAUGCAUGUGCGUGCGCAGGUGAGAGACAUCAAUCAUUCAAAUGACAUUAUAAACAAAUAAUAACUCAAAAAGAAAUUGAAAGUGAGCCUGCAAAUACAUAUUAUUAUUUAAUGAGUUAUGAUUCAUCUGUAAGAAAUAUUCCUUGUCUGUUCGACCGAUUUUAAAUCUUCAACUUGUCUUUUAUUCUUGUGUUUGAUUUGGAGCCGACACACAUACCACCCCACACACAGACUAUGUGGCAUUUGGAGUCAAAAUAAAAGUCUGUGUGCUGGCAUGCAAGCACUAAAGUGGUUAUGUCCUCCACCGGACGGUGUAGCCCUGGAAUCAAGAUCUGAUUCAGCUGGACUGAUCCUUCUGGGUAAACAUGAUGAUUGGGAAAUGUGUUCAUUAAGUGUUUACCAGAACCUGCGUGGAUGUGAGGCUCAGAGCGCCAUGAUCAGCAGAGGGCAGAGACACAGUACAUGACAUUACAGCCAAACGGUAAGUAAGAAGAACGCGAUCUGAUGAGGUCCUUUAAAAAAAAAAAGAAUUCUCAGGAGCAAUUAAAUCCUUUUUUUUGCUUUUUACAUUGAGGAGGAAAUGUUUUUGCUAAUUUACUCUGUGUACAUGUCAUUUCUAUUGAUUGCAUGAUGUUGAAUGGUUAAAAAUAAAAUUGAAAAUGUUUUUCUUUUCUUUUGAAAAUAAAGUAGUAGGUACCUGCACAAAGAAAAAAACUAAUGAAAAUGUACAGACAGUUUAGGAUUUCCAGCUACAGAUUCAAAGGGGUUUUGUUAGGAGUUUAUUAGAAAUCUGCUGCAGUGUCUUUCUGAUGUGACAAAAACUGAACACUUCAAGGACAUUGGUUUCUCAUUCUUAUUUAAAAGUCUGUUAGAAGCUGAUUUAUCAGGGAGAAUGACUUAAUUUUGAGGGGUAUGUGCAAGACUGUUGUCAAAAUAACCAAAAUACAUUUUAGAGAUUUCAUUGAGAAGUUAAAUAUAUCCCUUUUAGGGAAAUUCUUUUUGACUUUGCCACCUCAUGAAAGCAGCAUCAGGAUCCUCCUUCCUACGUUCAACAGCUUUGUCCAUAUAUUAUUUAAUAGCUACAACUAUAGAGACAAUUGAAACAGCAUUUUGUAUUUAACAUAUUCUAUGUUUUUAAUUUUGUUAUUCAUUUAUGUAUGCAUACAUCUUGUUUAUUCAACUUUGACCUCUUAUGAUUUUAGCCCCAGUGUUUCCCUGUGCGGAUCCUUUAUGCCAGGGCUUGCCGGCUUGGCCUGUGGUUGUUGCCGCGGUUACCGCCCUUCUGGGCCUGGGGUGUCCAACUUUGCUGCCUGAUGGUUGUGGAGUGGACCCUAUUGCUGUCCCGGUCUGGGUGGGCACAGUGGCGAUCCUCCUGUGGCUGAGCUGGCUCCUGUUAUGAAGAGAUUCCCAAUAUGCAGUUUCCUCACAGCAGAGCCAAGCCUUAAGUUACUUUUAUAAGUAUUCAUUGUGUGUGGGGUUAUGGGAUGUACGUGUUAAUGGAGCGGAGGGGGGAGGGUAUAGGGUGGGUUGGGUUUUUUUUUUAUGAAUCUCUCCUCAUUCAGAUAACUCCGUUUUUUGGCUGUCAGUGAGAGAAUUCACUUGCCUCCACUGUCCUGCAUGCGAGUUAGUUAUCAGUUGAAGUUGCAUACAUUAAUAAUUGUAUUUUGUUUUGUGUUAUGUAUUUGUUUGAACCAUUUCAUUGUCUGUUGUAGAGGAAGAAAAACUGAGGCUGGAUUGAGCAACAUUCCCAGAGUUACAGAUUCAGAAAUUAGACUUCUUAGAAUUAAAGAAAUAAGAUUUCCUCCCAGUCUGUGAAUGCAGCUUUAGCAAGAGUGGCAGCUCUUUGCCAAAACUCCUCUCCCUUGGAUUGCAGCGCUUCAGCACUUGUAUGUUGCUGCUCAGCGAAAACAAAACAAAUCCUGGAUGGAACAAGUUUCUUUCCUUCCUUAAGCAAAUUAAACGAUUAGCUUUUAGUUUCCUGCAUGAUUCUGUUAUGCAGAAAUUCCUUUCAGAGGAACAAUCAUAAUCAGUAAUGGCAAUUUCUACAAUUUUUCUACUGCUUUUUUUUUUUUUUUAAAUAAAAGUAUUGAUCUUAAGCUGGUUUUUUGUUUUCAUUUUUUGUGAAACACUGUUUUUCUCUUUCACUUUCUGUUUCCAAAGCAUUUUGGGAAAAAAAGGAAUUUUGCAGCUGGAUGAUACCCAGGUUCCUGCUUGGAAAUAUUCAGUCCAAAAGGAAAUGUAUGAACAAGUCAUUUUGGCUCUUUGCAUCAGCAGUGAUUUUCUUGCAAAAAAAAAAAAUAAUGCUACAAUAACCCAUUUUAAAAUAAAAGUAGCAAAAACUCUUCACAAGUUUGUCAUAAAGCUGCCAAAAAUGAUUGUAAUUCUUGUAAUUCCAGCGCAUUUACAACACUGAAGUACACUGAUGUUGCACUGAGUCGAAUAUGUUACAGCGACUUUUUAUAGAUUUGACUUUUUUUUAGAUGGUAUAUAAUAAAAAUGUAGGUGGGCUGCCAAAUAUUGUUCCAGGCCAUAAUACUCCUUAGUGUUCAGCCCAAGAGAACCUGGGUGCUAAUUCUUUUCUGGACACGUGCAAAGUCUGCCAGGAUGCAUGGACCCUGCAUUACAUGUAGACAAGCAGGGGGGGGGGGGGGGGCUGGAAUCCACACAAUGUUUUAAAAUGAUUUGAUCCAUUUUGUAGGGUGUCUGCGUGUUUUUGCAGCUGUAAAAAAAUUAAGUUCUUGCAGCAUUUUUCUCAGUAUGAAGAGCUGGAAAUGAAUCAUCAAAGUCCAAACUAAGCUAAGAUGUUAAAUGCAUUGUAGAUUUUAUGACUUAUCUAUAAAAUAAAGUUGCAGUCGGUUUUUUGCUGCCUGAACAUUUAGCAGACAGGAAGAAAGACUGAUUUUUUUUUUAAGUAGUCUAUUGCGUGCAUGCAUGGACUGCCUUAGCGUUUAUAGAACACUGAUCUGGUCCAGAGAGUAAUAGAAUGAAGCGUGGGUGUGGAGGAAGAUUCCCCUGGAGCAGAUUUAAGGUCUUCAAGUACUAAAAAGCCUUGACCCAUGCCCUGCUCACCCACUCACAGGGACCCUGCACCUUCUCUCCAGUCAAGAACGUGCUGUAAACAUGUGGAAAGGAGAACUACACAACUGCUGAUUGACCCAAACACACACAAAAAAAGAACCACGCAAAAAUAGACAUUUUUUGACAGAACCCAUCCUUGUUGCUUGUCUUGUAAUGAGGAGCACAUGACUGGGAUUGGGUGUGGUGCGUGAUCUCUUAUCGAACAAAAGCGUCCCACAGAGGGGCUGAUGGGGGGGGGGGGGCUCCGUGCCACCCCUCCAGUCCUGUUUGUCUGCAGUCAUGAGUUCUCCAUCCCGUUCACCACGCCAUGUCUCGUGGUUCAAAGUCCAUAAAAAAAAAUCCCCUGCUUUUAAAACAUUCAGGCGUGGCGGCGCGUUGUCAAUAAAUCAGCAACUCAGCCCGAAGAGAGGAGCACUUAAAUGGGGCAAGGUCAUGUUUUUCAAAAGCGAUGAAUUGACUUUUUUUGGCUGCUUUCUGAAGUUGUGUCACUUAAAGGGUCCAAAGUAUCUGUUUGGGCCAUGAGAACUAUCUUUCUCUGCAGUCAUGCUGAGACAAAUGCAUGCAAGUCAAUGCAAGUCGAUUUCCCCUUUCGGGUUGAGAGUCUGUCUAUUUUUAUUGUGCUGCUCACAGUUUAGAUGUCAAAAGGAUGUCAACAUCUGCAGGUUCAGGUCCCAGGCUGUUCCGAGUCAAAACCAAAAAUUACUGCUUCAACACAAGAGCUGUCCAUCAGAGUUACACUCCAUCACAACUCAGAUUCAGUGACAACAUUUGCUAUUUUUAAUGGCCAAGCCGUUAAAGUGCUUCUGCAGGUGUGUUAACUUGGCAGUCAAGCAACAACUGAAAGCGGGGAGGGAAAGUGAAACCAAUAUGGUAAACCGGUAUAUAUGAGUAUAUAUGUCUGCAUGCAUGUGUCUGCGUAUCCCAUCACAGAGCCGUGACCUUAACAGACACUGGCUUAAGGCAGCUGUCCUCUGAGGGCUCUCUAAAAGUGAAUGUUUGCAACCAUAAGGUUAAAUGAAGAGUUUUAAGCACAAGUGAAUGAAAAAGGGACAAAUUGUCUGGGUGCAGCUCUGCAUCAAAACAAAGAGAAAAGUUUUGAACUCCAUGUUUAUAUGAAUGUCAAUGAACAGGCAGAUGUGAAAGCUGCAAAGAGGAAUCUUUCAAAGUUCAAUGGAAAUCAAUGUGUAAAAAAAAUGAAAAAGUUGUUUCUGAAGAGUGAUGUCACAUGUUUUAAAUUAUGUACUAUUU